GACGAACGCUGGCGGCGUGCUUAACACAUGCAAGUCGAACGAAGUGGCGAACGGGUGAGUAACGCGUAAUCAACCUGCCCUUCAGAGGGGGAUAACAGUUGGAAACGACUGCUAAUACCGCAUACUGAAGGAGGGGAUUGCGUCGGAUUAGCUAGUUGGGGGGGUAACGGCCCACCAAGGAGAUGAUCAGUAGGCGGGUUGGGUGGAUGAACGGCCACAUUGGGACUGAGACACGGCCCAGACUCCCACGGGAGGCAGCAGGGGGGAAUUUUUCGAAAUUGACGAAAGUCUGACGGAGCAACGCCGCGUGAGUGAUGACGGCCUUCUGGUUGUAAAGCUCUGUUAAUCGGGACGCGGUACCGGAAUAGAAAGCCACGGCUAACUACGUGCCAGCAGCCGCGGUAAUUC
rnacentral:rRNA from 1 species